rnacentral:lncRNA from 1 species
GAAUUAGAGACCCCACCCUUCACCAAGCAGGUCGCAGGGCAGAGAAAGCAUGGGCUUGGAAGAGGGGCAGACCUCUGGAUGAUUUGGGGUGCCCUGUACUCCUGUGGAACUCACGUCUUUGAACUUCAGUUUAGUUGAGUCCACACAAAUGUCCCUGGCUGGUGAAUGGUCUUCUGUCACACAGGGACCUGAGGACAGAGGCCUCCAUCCCGUGGCUGUUCCGUACUCUGGGGCCUGGAGGCCUCAAGAGAGACAGCGUGGAGAAGCCUCGCCUGCUUCUUAAAGCCCCUGCCUUGAAUUUACACACAUCACUUCUCAUUUUCCAAUGGCAAAACUUAGGCCCGCAGCCAUUCUGGGAACAAAGUGGGCGGGAAAUGCCGUUCCUGAUGGGUAGCAGCACCAGGACCAGCUCCACUGCAUGGAAUAAUGAACCCACAGCUUUGGUGAAUAGGCAGCCACCUCUGCCACAUAUCAUAGCUUGUUGGGUGGUUGUGAAGCUUGAAUAUUAUAACACAUGUGAAGCAUUAACCUUGGAGUGCCCUGCAGUGCAGGAUAAAUGCUGUUAUUUAGUUAAGUUA